AUGGACCUAAGGAUACUUUCCCCAAAUUAUUGUCUAUAACUAUACAAUGCGCAAAUGUAAUCCCAUCAGGAUUCCAAGCCAGAAAUAAGAUCCAU
rnacentral:snoRNA from 1 species